UACGUAGGGGGCGAGCGUUGUCCGGAAUUACUGGGCGUAAAGGGUGCGUAGGCGGCCAUUUAAGUCUUGUGUGAAAGGCCCCGGCUUAACCGGGGAGCUGCAUGGGAAACUGGAUGGCUUGAGUGCUGGAGAGGGUUGCGGAAUUCCCAGUGUAGCGGUGAAAUGCGUAGAUAUUGGGAGGAACACCAGUGGCGAAGGCGGCAACCUGGACAGUAACUGACGCUGAGGCACGACAGCUGGGGGAGCAAAC
rnacentral:rRNA from 1 species